UACGUAGGGGCUAGCGUUGUCCGGAAUCAUUGGGCGUAAAGAGCGUGUAGGCGGCCCGGUAAGUCCGCUGUGAAAGUCGGGGGCUCAACCCUCGAAUGCCGGUGGAUACUGUCGGGCUAGAGUGCGGAAGAGGCGAGUGGAAUCCUGGUGUAGCGGUGAAAUGCGCAGAUAUCAGGAGGAACACCGGUGGCGAAGGCGGUCUCUGGGCCUACCUGACACUGAGGAGCGAAAGCGUGGGGAGCGAACAGG
rnacentral:rRNA from 1 species